UGAAUACGAGACGCUAAGGCGUCGAAGUAGUGUAUGUCAUACUUCCAAGAAAAGCUUGCACUGUCAUAGAUAAAAAACGCCUGUACCAUAACCGACACAGGUGGGUAGGUAGAGUAUACUAAGGGGCGCGAGAUAACUCUCUCUAAGGAACUCGGCAAAAUAACUCCGUAACUUCGGGAGAAGGAGUGCCUUAUUCGUAAGGUUGCAAUAACAAGAUCCAAGCAACUGUUUAUCAAAAACACAGGUCUCCGCUAAGUCGUAAGACGAUGUAUGGGGGCUGACGCCUGCCCAGUGCCAGAAGGUUAAAGAAGUUGGUUAGCAAUUGCGAAGCUGAUAACUGAAGCCCUGGUGAACGGCGGCCGUAACAAUAACGGUCCUAAGGUAGCGAAAUUCCUUGUCGGGUAAGUUCCGACCCGCACGAAAGGCGUAAUGAUUUGGAUACUGUCUCGGAGAGGGGCUCGGUGAAAUAGACUUGUCUGUGAAGAUGCGGACUACCUGCACCAGGACAGAAAGACCCUAUGAAGCUUUACUGUAACUUGAAAUUGAAAUUGGACUUUAUUCGCGCAGUAUAGGUGGGAGGCGUUGAUUAUAAUCUUGUGGGAUUAUUGGAGCCAUCAGUGAGAUACCACUCUUGUAAUGUUAGAUUUCUAACUUUGAAUCAUUAUCUGGUCAAAGAACAGUUUCAGGCGGGCAGUUUGACUGGGGCGGUCGCCUCCUAAACGGUAACGGAGGCGUACAAAGGUUUCCUCUGAACGGUUAGAAAUCGUAUCUAGAGUGUAAAGGCAUAAGGAAGCUUGACUGUAAGACCUACAAGUCGAGCAGGGACGAAAGUCGGUCUUAGUGAUCUGACGGUACUGAGUGGAAAGGCCGUCACUCAACGGAUAAAAGUUACUCUAGGAUAACAGGCUGAUCUCCCCCAAGAGUUCACAUCGACGGGGAGGUUUGGCACCUCGAUGUCGGCUCAUCGCAUCCUGGGGCGGUAGUACGUCCCAAGGGUUGGGCUGUUCGCCCAUGAAAGCGGUACGCGAGCUGGGUUCAGAACGUCGUGAGACAGUUCGGUCCAUAUCCGGUGUAGGCGUUAGAAUAUUGAGAGGAGCCUUCUUUAGUACGAGAGGACCGAGAAGGACAUACCUCUGGUGUACCAGUUAUCGUGCCAACGGUAAACGCUGGGUAGCUAUGUAUGGAGUGGAUAACCGCUGAAAGCAUCUAAGUGGGAAGCCCACCUCAAGAUAAGUAUUCUCAC
rnacentral:rRNA from 1 species